rnacentral:rRNA from 1 species
UACGUAGGGGGCAAGCGUUGUCCGGAAUCAUUGGGCGUAAAGCGCGCGUAGGCGGCCCGGUAAGUCCGCUCUGAAAGUCCAGGGCUCAACCCUGGAAAGCGGGUGGAUACUGCCGGGCUAGAAUCCGGAAGAGGCGAGUGGAAUUCCUGGUGUAGCGGUGGAAUGCGCAGAUAUCGGGAAGAACACCCGUGGCGAAGGCGGUUCUCUGGGCCGAUAUUGACGCUGAGGAGCGAAAGCGUGGGGAGCGAACAGG